rnacentral:tRNA from 1 species
AGGGGUUUAGCUCAAUGGUAGAGUAUUUGCUUAGCACGCAUAAUGCCCUAAAUUCAACCUCUA